AUGUUUAUUAAUUUUAAUGCAUGUACAUGGCUGUUGUCGCUAUCUAGUUGGUCGCUUCCCAGUCUUUUGCUUGCCUUCACUUGUACUAAGCGGGAAUACUGCUUGUGCAUCCAAUCCCUUAAAACCCCAAAGUUAUUCCAGAUGAGUCCACCAUACCUUCCUAUAUGCGGUAUCUACCUGCCGUUCCAAGUAAAUUUGUAUGUGCCAAACUCUAAACCUUCAAAUAAACAUUCUGUUUUGUAUGCUCGAAUAGCUCAUGUAUCAACAAAGGUUGUCCUUAUCUUCCGUGUUAGGCGGGUUAUUCUCAAGAGGAGUGGACUCCGCUCCUCACUCAUGAGAAAAUGGCUGGUCACCGGGAUGCCCAGUCCCAUGCUUUAUGCAAACUAA
rnacentral:rRNA from 1 species